rnacentral:rRNA from 1 species
GAUGAACGCUGGCGGCGUGCUUAACACAUGCAAGUCGAACGAAGCACUUAAACGGAAGUUUUCGGAUGGAAGAUUAAGUGACUGAGUGGCGGACGGGUGAGUAACGCGUGGGCAACCUGCCUCAUACAAGGGGAUAACAGUUAGAAAUAGCUGCUAAUACCGUAUAAGCUUACGGUACCGCAUGGUACAGUAAGAAAAACUCCGGUGGUAUGAGAUGGGCCCGCGUCUGAUUAGCUAGUUGGUAAGGUAACGGCUUACCAAGGCGACGAUCAGUAGCCGACCUGAGAGGGUGACCGGCCACAUUGGGACUGAGACACGGCCCAAACUCCUACGGGAGGCAGCAGUGGGGAUAUUGCACAAUGGGGGAAACCCUGAUGCAGCGACGCCGCGUGAGUGAAGACGGCCUUCGGGUUGUAAAGCUCUGUCAACGGGGACGAUAAUGACGGUACCCGUGAAGGAAGCCACGGCUAACUACGUGCCAGCAGCCGCGGUAACAC